AGAACGAACGCUGGCGGCAUGCCUAAUACAUGCAAGUCGAACGAACACUUCGGUGUUAGUGGCGCACGGGUGCGUAACGCGUGGGAAUCUGCCCUUGGGUUCGGAAUAACAGUUGGAAACGACUGCUAAUACCGGAUGAUAUCGAAAGAUCAAAGAUUUAUCGCCCAGGGAUGAGCCCGCGUAGGAUUAGCUAGUUGGUGAGGUAAAGCUCACCAAGGCUACGAUCCUUAGCUGGUCUGAGAGGAUGAUCAGCCACACUGGGACUGAGACACGGCCCAGACUCCGUACGGGAGGCAGCAGUAGGGAAUAUUGGACAA
rnacentral:rRNA from 1 species